rnacentral:rRNA from 1 species
CGAAGGGGCGUAGCGUUGUUCGGAAUCACUGGGCGUAAAGGGUGCGUAGGCUGGUUCUUAAGUCAGGGGUGAAAUCCCGAGGCUCAACCUCGGAACGGCCUUUGAUACUGGGGAUCUUGAGUCCGGAAGAGGUGAGUGGAACUGCGAGUGUAGAGGUGAAAUUCGUAGAUAUUCGCAAGAACACCGGUGGCGAAGGCGGCUCACUGGUCCGGAACUGACGCUGAGGCACGACAGCGUGGGGAGCAAACAGGAUU